rnacentral:rRNA from 1 species
GAUGAACGCUGGCGGCGUGCCUAAUACAUGCAAGUCGAGCGAGCGGACGAGAAGCUUGCUUCUCUGAUGUUAGCGGCGGACGGGUGAGUAACACGUGGAUAACCUACCUAUAAGACUGGGAUAACUUCGGGAAACCGGAGCUAAUACCGGAUGAUAUUUUGAACCGCAUGGUUCAAAAGUGAAAGACGGUCUUGCUGUCACUUAUAGAUGGAUCCGCGCUGCAUUAGCUAGUUGGUAAGGUAACGGCUUACCAAGGCAACUAUGCAUAGCCGACCUGAGAGGGUGAUCGGCCACACUGGAACUGAGACACGGUCCAGACUCCUACGGGAGGCAGCAGUAGGGAAUCUUCCGCAAUGGGCGAAAGCCUGACGGAGCAACGCCGCGUGAGUGAUGAAGGUCUUCGGAUCGUAAAACUCUGUUAUUAGGGAAGAACAUAUGUGUAAGUAACUGUGCACAUCUUGACGGUACCUAAUCAGAAAGCCACGGCUAACUACGUG